UGUGUUAACACAACUAAAACCCACAUGUUUCUGCAAACACACACACACAAGCAACGAGCUGCACACACAGCCCUUGUAGGAACACACACGCAUAUGUAAAAUCACGUGUACAGAGGUCCACACAGCAAUGUGGACCCUCCUGCGCACACACUUACACGCAGAAUCUCUUCAGAUAACCACACGUAUGUGAUGUACACCGUCUGCCCCUCUAGGGCUGCUCAUAUGUGCAAGUGUGUGCGGCAUCCUCACGCAUCACGAGGCUAACGUAGGCUGUGCAGGUAGGACGCGUGAACACGUGUCCAGGUGGGCCUCGUGCUCUCCCACACCAGAAUUCCUGGCGUGGACGUCCCCAGAACACUCUCCUCGUGUUGCGUAAGUCGGGCACCAUGGAGACUUGUUCUCCUGAAAGCCGCCCUUUCCACCCCUGCCCCGGGCCCCGCGUCCAGGCUGCCCGUGCCUCAAGCAGUCCUAGCCUCUGGGGCGCCCGGCUCCCGCCCGCACGGGCCGCAGGCUCUAGGGAACCUCCGCCAGCAGGUGGCGCCGGCAGGAGCCUCGCGCAGACCAGACGGGCAGAAGUAGGACGCAUCCGCGUCUCAGCGCGGAAAUGCGGCCGUGCCGGCGGGCUCCUAACCCCCCUUACUGUGCCGGGACCGAGCCCCGGAAUGAUCUACCAAGAUCACCAGACCGAAGAAAGCCACUCCCGAGAGAAGACAGAAAGGACAAGACCCCGCCCUUCCUUCCCGGAAGGAAACGGGAAGCGGAAGAUCAGGGACGGGAAUGUGGAGGGGCGCAAGGAGCCCCUUCUGCAGGGUCCGCCGAGGGCCCGGGUGUGUGUGCUGGAGAUCUGUGUGCACCUGGGGCAGGGUCCGCAUGAGCAGGUCUCCAGAGGCCUCUCUGGGGCCAGUGGCAGCUCUGAUGUCCAAGCGUAUACCCUCGAUGGUGCCUCUGAGUCACAGCUUCACUAAUUCUGUCCUGUUCUGGGAGCCACUGUAGAAGCCUCAAUCCUGAAUCUGAUUGUGUAAGCCCCCAAAUUCCUGGACUCAAUCCCUUUUGGCUUGAAGUACGUAGACUGGAGACUUUUUCCUUUACUGAAUCUUGACAUACAAGAUGCAAGUUGAGUUAAGAACAGUUAUGGUGUCAACUUCAUUCAACAGACAUUUAAUGAGUGCAAACUAUUUCACCUGGCACUGUACCCAGCACAGCGACCUCAUGCAAGCUGGUGCACCAUGUCCUGACAUGGUGGUGAAAGGUAGGCCAAGGGGAUCCAUGCCCAGUCUUCACCCAGUCAGCCCAGCUCAAGGGAGUGAUGUGAGUGGGAAUACGGCAGCCCUGGCUUCAGACAGGCAGGGUUGAGUCCCGUCCAGUUCCAGUGCUCACCCCAGAUGCAGGUGGUCAGCCAACCCUCUCUCUAGGGCUCAGCUGCUUUGCUUCACUCCCACCACACCUCCUCCCCUUUGCACUUUCAUCGCUCAUCCUUCAGACUCAGGGUAUGUGCUCUCCUCUGGAGGUCUUCCUGGCCCUCCUCCCUCAGUGCCUGUGUUCCAUGCUUCAUAGAAAGUGUUCGAUGAAUUGAAUUCAUCUGAUUUCCAUCCCAGCAUUUUUUCUUUCCUGCAGGCACAUGCACACACACAUGCACACACUCACACACACUCACCACUGGAGUAAGCUAUUUGUCUUGGGCGGGGUAUCCUAGAUGCUGAGUCUGAGAGGGGGGUUUCUGUGUCAGGGAGUUACGGAAGGAGGGCUCCUAGGAGGAGCCUUAAGAAAGGGAGGAAAGCAGAACUCCGGGAAAGAAGCCAAGGAAAGACAUGGCUUUCUCCAAUGUCUCUGUUCCAACUGCCCUCCCCCAGAAUCCUGGGGCAGGAAGAGCACCGCAGACUUGUCCCACGUUGGGGAAAGUGCUGGCCUUUUGUAACCUGCACCAAUCCCUCCUGGCUGCAGGUCACCCUGGUGUGGGAUGUGGCC
rnacentral:lncRNA from 13 species